rnacentral:rRNA from 1 species
CGUACACUCCUACGGGAGGCAGCAGUGGGGAAUAUUGCACAAUGGGCGCAAGCCUGAUGCAGCCAUGCCGCGUGUAUGAAGAAGGCCUUCGGGUUGUAAAGUACUUUCAGCGGGGAGGAAGGCGAUAAGGUUAAUAACCUUGUUGAUUGACGUUACCCGCAGAAGAAGCACCGGCUAACUCCGUGCCAGCAGCCGCGGUAAUACGGAGGGUGCAAGCGUUAAUCGGAAUUACUGGGCGUAAAGCGCACGCAGGCGGUCUGUCAAGUCGGAUGUGAAAUCCCCGGGCUCAACCUGGGAACUGCAUUCGAAACUGGCAGGCUAGAGUCUUGUAGAGGGGGGUAGAAUUCCAGGUGUAGCGGUGAAAUGCGUAGAGAUCUGGAGGAAUACCGGUGGCGAAGGCGGCCCCCUGGACAAAGACUGACGCUCAGGUGCGAAAGCGUGGGGAGCAAACAGGAUUAGAUACCCUAGUAGUCCCA